GAUGAACGCUGGCGGCGUGCUUAACACAUGCAAGUCGAACGAGCGAGAGAGAGCUUGCUUUCUCAAGCGAGUGGCGAACGGGUGAGUAACGCGUGAGGAACCUGCCUCAAAGAGGGGGACAACAGUUGGAAACGACUGCUAAUACCGCAUAUGCCAUGAACAUCACAUGAUGAAAAUGGGAAAAGAGUAAUCUGCUAGUAGAUGGGCUCGCGUCUGAUUAGAUAGUUGGUGGGGUAACGGCCUACCAAGGCGACGAUGCAUAGCCGACCUGAGAGGGCGAACGGCCACAUUGGGACUGAGACACGGCCCAA
rnacentral:rRNA from 1 species